ACUGCUCAGUAACACGUGGAUAAUCUGCCCUUGGGUGGGGGAUACACUCGAGAAAUUGAGCAUAAUACCCCAUAGGUCUAGUAUGCUGGAAUGCUUCUAGACUGAAAACUCCGGUGCCCAAGGAUGAAUCUGCGGCCUAUCAGGCUGUAGUGAGUGUAAGGGACUCACUAACCGACGACGGGUACGGGCCUUGAGAGAGGUUGCCCGGAGAUGGACUCUGAGACACGAGUCCAGGCCCUACGGGGCGCAGCAGGCGCGAAAACUUCACAAUGCGGGAAACCGUGAUGAGGGAAUUCCAAGUGCUAGCAAUUUAUUGUUAGCUGUUUUCAUGCCUAAAAAGCAUGUAGAGUAAGAGCUGGGUAAGACUGGUGCCAGCCGCCGCGGUAAUACCAGCAGCUCAAGUGGUGGUCGUUAUUAUUGGGCCUAAAGCGUCCGUAGCCGGUCUGGUAAACUCUUGGGUAAAUCGGGCAGCUCAACUGUCCGAAUUCUAAGGAGACUGCCAGACUUGGGACCGGGAGAGGUCAGAGGUACUCCUGGGGUAGGGGUGAAAUCCUGUAAUCCUAUGGGGACCACCAGUGGCGAAGGCGUCUGAUCAGAACGGGUCCGACGGUAAGGGACGAAGCCCUGGGGCACAAACCGGAUUAGAUACCCGGGUAGUCCAGGGUGUAAACGCUGCAGGCUUGGUGUUGGGGGUCCUACGAGGGCACUCAGUGCCGGAGAGAAGUUGUUAAGCCUGCCGCCUGGGGAGUACGUCCGCAAGGAUGAAACUUAAAGGAAUUGGCGGGGGAGCAC
rnacentral:rRNA from 1 species